rnacentral:rRNA from 1 species
UACGAAGGGGGCUAGCGUUGCUCGGAAUCACUGGGCGUAAAGGGUGCGUAGGCGGGUCUUUAACUCAGGGGUGAAAUCCUGGAGCUCAACUCCAGAACUGCCUUUGAUACUGAAGAUCUUGAGUUCGGGAGAGGUGAGUGGAACUGCGAGUGUAGAGGUGAAAUUCGUAGAUAUUCGCAAGAACACCAGUGGCGAAGGCGGCUCACUGGCCCGAUACUGACGCUGAGGCACGAAAGCGUGGGGAGCAAACAGG